CAGUCGCCGCGGUAACACGAAGGGUGCAAGCGUUAAUCGGAAUUACUGGGCGUAAAGCGCGCGUAGGUGGUUUGGUAAGAUGGAUGUGAAAUCCCCGGGCUCAACCUGGGAACUGCAUCCAUAACUGCCUGACUAGAGUACGGUAGAGGGUGGUGGAAUUUCCUGUGUAGCGGUGAAAUGCGUAGAUAUAGGAAGGAACACCAGUGGCGAAGGCGACCACCUGGACUGAUACUGACACUGAGGUGCGAAAGCGUGGGGAGCAAACAGGAUUAGAUACCCCGGUAGUCCCUGUCUCUUAUAC
rnacentral:rRNA from 1 species